GAUGACUAGGUGCUGAAAAGAAAAAGGGAGGGGGAACCAGAAAGACAAAACACAUUGACAAAAAAAAGAAAGCAUCCAGAGUACUCAGAGAUUCUGCAAGUAUACACACAGUGUCUAAAAUUAGCCAAAAUUCACACAACAAAGGAAGAUAGUGAGUGCAAGCAACUAAGUUACAAAUGUUCCAGGAGACACCGAGGCAUAAAGAUUAGAAGAAAAAAAGGUUGAAACAGUAAGUGAGACACCAACACCAGGUUAGCAAUUCACCAUGCAUUCAUCCCCAUCAUAUAUUAUUUAUGUCACAAAUAAUUCUCGCAGGCACAUAUAGUAAAUAAUUACAUUCAUAUGCAUUCCAUCAUAAAUCAUGAUGUUUUCUUUUUAGUAAUAUAAGUUGCAUAAACUAGAUUGGUCUAGGUAAUAGUAACCAAUACUUGUAGGCAUGAAGGACUAUGCUUUUCCCUCAUCCCAUCCUUCAAGUCCAUUUCAAUUUCUAUAUUCACUACAUAACAAAGAAGACUAAUAACAAACAUCCCAUCCCUUAGUAUCCAAACAGCAAUAGGCAUAACAAGGAUUAAAGAAACAAAGAAAAAACUUUCUCAUAACAACACAAAAUCAUUAUUCGUUUGAUGACUAUCACCAUUGCUACGAGGAUCCUUAGAUAUCCCAUGACUACCGUGAAACCACUCCAAGGUGCUGGAAGCCUUGCCGGUGCAGCGUCUGUGUGGCAGCACCGUCGGCCAUUGUGCUUUGCCGUCAAGAUCUU
rnacentral:lncRNA from 1 species